rnacentral:rRNA from 1 species
GAUGAACGCUGGCGGCGUGCCUAAUACAUGCAAGUCGAGCGAAUGGAUAAAGAGCUUGCUCUUAUGAAGUUAGCGGCGGACGGGUGAGUAACACGUGGGUAACCUGCCCAUAAGACUGGGAUAACUCCGGGAAACCGGGGCUAAUACCGGAUAAUAUUUUGAACUGCACGGUUCAAAAUUGAAAGGCGGCUUCGGCUGUCACUUAUGGAUGGACCCGCGUCGCAUUAGCUAGUUGGUGAGGUAACGGCUCACCAAGGCAACGAUGCGUAGCCGACCUGAGAGGGUGGUCGGCCACACUGGGACGGAAACACGGCCCAGACUCCUACGGGAGGCAGCAGUAGGGAAUCUUCCGCAAUGGACGAAAGUCUGACGGAGCAACGCCGCGUGAGUGAUGAAGGCUUUCGGGUCGUAAAACUCUGUUGUUAGGGAAGAACAAGUGCUAGUUGAAUAAGCUGGCACCUUGACGGUACCUAACCAGAAAGCCACGGCUAACUACGUGCCAGCAGCCGCGGUAA